AACGAACGCUGGCGGCAGGCUUAACACAUGCAAGUCGAGCGCCCCGCAAGGGGAGCGGCAGACGGGUGAGUAACGCGUGGGAAUCUACCUUUUGCUACGGAAUAACGCAGGGAAACUUGUGCUAAUACCGUAUGUGUCCUUCGGGAGAAAGAUUUAUCGGCAAGAGAUGAGCCCGCGUUGGAUUAGCUAGUUGGUGGGGUAAAGGCCUACCAAGGCGACGAUCCAUAGCUGGUCUGAGAGGAUGAUCAGCCACAUUGGGACUGAGACACGGCCCAAACUCCUACGGGAGGCAGCAGUGGGGAAUAUUGGACAAUGGGCGCAAGCCCGAUCCAGCCAUGCCGCGUGAGUGAUGAAGGCCCUAGGGUUGUAAAGCUCUUUCACCGGAGAAGAUAAUGACGGUAUCCGGAGAAGAAGCCCCGGCUAACUUCGUGCCAGCCGCCGCGGUAA
rnacentral:rRNA from 2 species